GCCAUCAAUAUCUGACAAUGGGGUUAUUUGAAGGAAUUUCGAAAUUUGCUCUUGUAUCAGCAAUUCUGACUGCUGUUGGAUUUCUUGUACAUUUGAUCGGUUAUGGCGCACCGUACUGGUUUAAGAGUGGAAUUUAUCAUUCUGGAAUUUGGAAGACAUGUUCUGGCAGCAUAUGUGUGGACUUUGUUGGCAGUGGAUCUAAUCAAGCAUGGUUUAUAGAAGCAGUCGAAGCUUUCGAGACACUUGCCUUUCUAGCAAUACUUGGUGCACUCAUCGUUAUUGGACUAAAACUUACAGUGAUGAAAGAGAAGAAGAUAUUGCCAAUUGCCAUCUUUAUACUUCAGUUUGCUUCAGUUGGUCUAAUCGUUUUAGGUGUGAUCAUAUAUUGUAACGAAGGUCCUACAAGUAGCUAUGGAUUCGCAUUUUUUUUGGUGAUUAUAGCUUCGGUUAUUAUGCUUGUCGCUGGAAUCUUCAGUGUCUUGGAUUGGAGAAGCUCUCCGUCACCUGCAUAGACAUUAUUGCAAUCGAAACAAGCAUUCAUAAGGAUUCAGUAGGUUAUAAUUGAGGUUCCGAGUAUAUUGUUAUAAAAAUAACAGGCUUUAGAUAUAAAUCUGGCUAUUACAAAACAGACUGAGAGUGAAGCUCAAACAAAUUCAGCCAAUAACCAUGUUUGUUUGCCUUGAAUGCUCCAAAUAAAUGUAAAACAGAAUAAAUUAAAGAGUCAUCAAAGCUCGUAAAAGAAAGAAUUUUGAUUUUCCAUCAUGUCGCUUGGAUCAAUGUACAAAAAACUGAUGAAGCGAAACUUUCUCUUUGAUACAAUUAGUAAAAUAUUAACAACUUUAA